ACAAAAAAACUAAUGGAGGUCAUAGCACGAAUGCUGCUGCUGGGAACACACGAAGCAUGAUGAUAUUAUGCUCUGAGGAGCUUCUAUUGAUGACAGCACAUGCUUGUGACGAAGACUAGUAGGCCUAUAUAAUACCUUAUUUAAAGCUUGCCUUUUUUCACGUCAUACAAAGAGCUGUGGAUGAUUUUUAUUUUCUGUUAUUUACAAGGGGAUCGGUAUAGGCCUAGUGCUGUAUGGUCUGCCAAAGUCGUAACGUUUGGUGACGCAGACUUCAAUUAUAUUAACUGUUGGAUCAGCUCGUCAUUUCCCCAUUGACUUAGAAGAAUCAUAGGCUACCUUAAUUAACACAGUAAAUGCCCCCAUCAAAUUAGCCAAAGACAAGCGCUGCCGGCGUGUCGAUUUUAAUGCGAUUGUGAAAUAUCCGCGGGAAGCAACGAAAAGGUGUUGUUUUCAGGAAACAAAAGAAGCACGCUUAUAGCAUAUCGUGAAAGUUAUAGCAUGAUGAUGUAAACCAGCCGUGGUGUAUGUGAAAACGAAAACAAAUUGAGGUCAUAGCACGAAUGCUGCUGGGAAAACAUCACGAAACAUGAUGAUAUUGCUUCUCUGAGGAGCUUCUAUAUCGAUUAUGCCUGCAUAUGACGAAAACCACAGUGAAUAAUUCCUUAUAUAGCACGACGGGAUAUAGCAUGACGGGACAAAAAGAGCUUUCGUAUGAAUAUUAUUAUUUCUGUUAUUUAUAUAAGGGGAUCGGUAGUGUAUGGUCUGCCAAAGUCGUAACGUUUGGAGACGCAGACUUCAAUCAUGUUGACUGAUUGAUCAACUCGUCAUUUCCCCAUUGACCUAGAAGAAUCAUACUUCAUUGAUUAACACGACAGGUUAUGGAACUUUCGACGAGAUUAUCGUGGCUGAUAUUUCAGCAAUCUUUCAACUGCGUUGACAGAUUUUGUCCUAUCCCGCUGCUCUGCAACGUCAAAUUUGAAAUUUGAUUUGUGCAACACAGAUUCACGCUCAUUAAUCAUUUCUCUUUUUUACUCGUGGUUUACUCUUUACGCGAAACAUUAAACUGUUAUCUAUGCGGUUUUGUCGCAUGUCCUAUAGUAUUUUUCCUUGUCACGCCCCAGGAGAGUGGGAGCGACCGCGGGGCGACGUAUUGCCUACAGCGCACUUGUAACGUAUAGCCUACGAGCAAGUCAUUGUUAAAACAAUGAUCUGCGAUGGGAAAGCGCCAAAGCGGACAUCACGGAUUCAUUUUCUUACUUCUUACGCGAUAAAAUAUCCAAGUAAAACAUUCCAUGUAGUAUAUGGGAAACUUUUUUUUUCGGCAAGGUUGUUUUAAAAAUGUAGCCUAAUAGGGUCCAUGUCACAUCUAGCCUAUAUAGCCUACAGCAGCUCCCACUUACCCUCUGAAAACUGAAACCCCGAGUAGCCCCGAGUUGAACUUCACAUUGCCUGUCUCAUCAACUUCUUUUCAAACAGGAAGUUAUAUCUAUAGGGAAAGGAGAGCAAUAUAGGCUACAAAGUUUAAACUGCGCUCACCCUUUAUAAAAGUUGAUUCCGUAUUUUUUCAAAGGAGUCCAUGCAUUCGUUAUCGGGCAGUGAAGUCACGCAGAAAGAGUUUUAAAAUGGAUUCAAUUCAAUUUUUGCCAACGAUGGCUGUUAAAUCGGUAACAACAGCAGCAAGAAUAAAGGACAGCCGGCUCGAAUAAUUGGUGGCGAUACACAGCCAAAAAGACAUUAGUUAUAUAUUAUAGCCUUUUAAAUUAUUCGUUCGACGACAAUAUAUAAUGAUCUGAUGUUGGACUAUGAAGCUUAGAUGGUUGCUGGCCAUGUUGGCCCGGGAUCGUCGCGUUGCUGCCAAACUUAUGCUGCUGCUGGUGCGCUGCCUCCUCCGAGAAAGCCUAUUCUACUAUUUAAAAUUACUAGUUAACCUGGACCUAGCAUCUGGUUUUAACAUCUGGUUUUAACUUCCAAAUUUUGAAGUUAAAACCAGAUGCUGGCAGAAAACCAUGGGCUAUAUUUCAUUGAAUUUUUUGAAAAAAGGGCCGUCUUGAACAAAGUUUCCGCAGCAUGCAUGCUGGUUCCCACCGUUCGUCCAUUUCCAGUCAUUUUCUCAGUCGUGAUCUUACUGUCUUGCAAUGUGAUUCGUGCAGGCAUGCAUUUAACCUCUAUAGAUAUGCCAGCCAACUGAUGGCAAAGAGAAACACCGAGAGAAACACCAUUGGAUGCUGUUCCAGCGCACUAUAUAUACCCGAAGCAAGAUGAAAAUAGUUAAAUCGUGCCAGCUUAUACAAUAUUUGAGGCAUUAUAACCAACCUACUCGGUUGUCCACCCCAAAAACUCAAAAAAGAAAGAGGAAAUUGAAGCAGCGAUCUCCGUCAAUCGUGAAAAAUUUUAUAUCAACGUUGAUAGACGAUAACAGCAUCAUCAUCAUCAUACAGCAGAAAAUUUGUUAUAUUUAUGCCAAAAAGGGUUAUACUAUAUUGCCGUUAAUUAUACAGAUGGUCGAAGCACCGUGUAAAAUAUUGUAGAUAAAUAUUAAAUAUGCCUUUAUCCUUGAGAUUUCUUAUACCAUUUUCUGUCCCCAAUAAAAUAAAACAAAACAUCUGAAAUUUGCAUCAGUUCAAAUUGAAGCAGCAUACGCGAGCAUAUACGUUGGAUCAAUAAAAUUUUGCAUUUAUA